GGAAAAUGGCCUUCUUGUUCAACUACGUCUUCACUAGCUUUCUGUUUUCCUUCACUGCCUCAGGUUGCUGUCCUAGAAAUUGCUCUGUAGACAAGGCUGACUCCAAACUCAGAGAUCCACCACCCUCUACCUUCUGAAUGCUGGGAUUAAAGGCAGAGGAAAUUAUUUCUUAGUUCUGUACAAAAGGAGGCUCUUGGCUCAGUGUGCCUGCAUUCCAAAGCUGAGGAGAGAAGAAAGUGAUUAGUUUUGGAAUGCUGGAUUCACUGUGGUUUGCAGCUCUGGGGUGCUGUGCAGCAGCAGGUGACAAGAAAAACAGAAAGUGAGCAUUCAGAACUGGAGUCUACAGAAAAGCAAACAUCAGGAUUCAGAGACUUGGAGAGCCCUCAUCCAGUGGCUAAUGGAAACAGAGUCAGACACCCACAGCUAUACACUGAACUGAACUCUGGAAUCCAGUUGCAGAGAGGGAGGAAUGAAGAUAAAAGCAGUUGGGACCAGGCUGGUGAAUCCCACAGAAACAACUGGCUUGAACAAGGGAGAACACAAGGACCCCAGACUGCUGUCUGGGAGGCCAGCAAGGGACUGUUCCAGACACCUGAACAUGGGUGUUAAUGAGGAGGCCUCAGCACUCUAUGGACCCCCUGGUAGUGGAUCAGUAUUUUUCCCUGGUGUAAGAAGGGACUUUGAGAGCCCAUCCCACGUGAAGGGAUAUUCUAGGCCUGAACCCAUCCUAGGCCCUCUCCAAGAUGAUGUGGUGCACUUUGGGAUCCCCCAUGGAGGGCCCUACCCUCCCUGGGAAUUGGAGCAGGG
rnacentral:lncRNA from 1 species